rnacentral:snRNA from 1 species
CUUAUUUUUCGGUCUUUUGGCUAAGAUCAAGUGUAAUAUUUGUUUUACGAGUUCAAUAUAUGGUAUAUGAACAAUAUGUUCAAUUUGACAUUAAAUUUAUUUAUUAUAAUAUUUUUAUGUGGAGGGUCUAUUAAGACUCUCAAGUGUCGCUUAGAGCAUCUCCAACAAUGCCUCAAACUAG